CUUUGAACGUACAUGUUCCUUCAUCAACGUUUCCUAUAAAUAGACUAACAUCCAAGAUAGCCACACAGCCAGCAUCCAUUGAACGCAAAAGAAACAAUACAGUAGUAGGGCUUAUAUCUUGGUGGUAACUGUUACUGAAGGUGUCGCUUUGAGCAGCUGUGAAGAUGAGCUCUCCAGCUGACAGUAAGGCAUGCGAUGCUCCCAAGACGGAGUGGCCUGAACUUGUGGGCUGCACAAUUAAGGUGGCAAAAGAGAGGAUUAAGGCGGACCGGCCAGACCUCAAUGUUGUGGUCACCCCUAUUGGCACCAUGGUGGACCAAAUGAUCGACCCAAAUCGCGUUCGUCUUCGGGUUGAUACUGUGGCUGAGGUUCCGAAGAUUGGCUAAAGUGGAAUAUAAUGGUCCAAGCGUGGCCUGUGUUAUGUUGAAACAGUAAUUAAAUAAGAAAACAUGCAUGUUGUGGCAUGUUUGUUUCUAUAUGAAUGUUGCAUGCACAUUAAUAUAUUAUGUGCUUUGUUGCCAACUAUGUAAGAGAUGUGUGUACUUUGCAUUAUCAUUUAUCAAUAAAGGUCAGCAAUCAAAUUGAAUUGAUA